AUUGAACGCUGGCGGCAUGCUUUACACAUGCAAGUCGAACGGCAGCGGGGGCUUCGGCCUGCCGGCGAGUGGCGAACGGGUGAGUAAUGCAUCGGAACGUGCCCAUGUCGUGGGGGAUAACGUAUCGAAAGGUACGCUAAUACCGCAUACGCCCUGAGGGGGAAAGCGGGGGAUUCUUCGGAACCUCGCGCGAUUGGAGCGGCCGAUGUCGGAUUAGCUAGUAGGUGAGGUAAAGGCUCACCUAGGCGACGAUCCGUAGCGGGUCUGAGAGGAUGAUCCGCCACACUGGGACUGAGACACGGCCCAGACUCCUACGGGAGGCAGCAGUGGGGAAUUUUGGACAAUGGGCGCAAGCCUGAUCCAGCCAUGCCGCGUGAGUGAAGAAGGCCUUCGGGUUGUAAAGCUCUUUCGGCCGGGAAGAAAUCGCAUUCUCUAAUAUAGGAUGUGGAUGACGGUACCGGACUAAGAAGCACCGGCUAACUACGUG
rnacentral:rRNA from 1 species